rnacentral:rRNA from 1 species
GUUUGAUCAUGGCUCAGAUUGAACGCUGGCGGCAGGCUUAACACAUGCAAGUCGAGCGGGGAAGGGUAGCUUGCUACCUGACCUAGCGGCGGACGGGUGAGUAAUGCUUAGGAAUCUGCCCAGUAGUGGGGGAUAGCCCGGGGAAACCCGGAUUAAUACCGCAUACGUCCUACGGGAGAAAGCAGGGGAUCUUCGGACCUUGCGCUACUGGAUGAGCCUAAGUCGGAUUAGCUAGUUGGUGGGGUAAAGGCCUACCAAGGCGACGAUCCGUAGCUGGUCUGAGAGGAUGAUC